GGUUUCAGGUAACAAAGUUGCGUCCCUUUGUAAAAGGCCAGUAUACAAAUUCGAGAGCUGUUGGGUUGAUUGUAUUACAUAUGUAAGUAUUUGUAGCAGUCCACUGCCAGCACUAAGUUCAAGAGAGAUUGUAUUUUGACCUAAAAGUUUCUUUGAACGAUGCAGCGAUACGUGUAAUUGUUUUCCUUAGCCUCUGCUCACCAUUUGUCUUAAACAAGGUUAUCACUCAGUCUAAAUUACACGUUUCAAAACUGAUACAUUAUUUUUCCACAUCUCUGUUUACUUUUUUCUCCUCUAUGCUCAUCUUUCCUUGAAAUAACCAAAUGUUCCCUAUUCAAUCCCCUCCGUUCAUCCUAUUGAAUCGUGUGAUGGAAAAAGAUAAAGUUCACUCACUCAAGUACUCUUCUUUAUUCCAGUUUUGAUGCAUUUACUUCUGUGUUCCCACGUUAUGCUGCCGUCUACCUCUACGCCCUUGCACUUUGAAGGGCUGUGAUUCUGUGUUGAACUGGUCACACCACCGUUCCAGCUGCUCCUCCUGCCUUCAGGUCCAUGCAGCCCAGCAGUGUCCUAAAGUUACCAGGACUGCAGGAUGUAUUGUGACAGACUUUAAAUGUGAGGAAGAGGAGCUCUCAUCACCCAUCACCUCUGUGAGAUGAAAGGCCCUGGAAGCAGCCAGCCACCCUGCUGGACACAGCUCAGCUGUUAUAAGAAGUGUUUGACAGGAG